AUUGAACGCUGGCGGCAGGCCUAACGCAUGCAAGUCGAGCGGAUGAAUGGAGCUUGCUCCUGGAUUCAGCGGCGAACGGGUGAGUAAUGCCUAUGAAUCUGCCUGGUAGUCGGGGAUAACGUCCUGAAACGGGCUCUAAUACUGCAUACGUCCUGUGAUCGAAAUUGGGUGAUCUUCGGACGUCUCGCCAACAUAUGAGCCUAGGUCGGAUUAGCUAGUUGGCGGGGUAAAUGCCUAUCAAGGCUACGAUCCGUAACUGGUCUCAGAGGAUGAUCACUCAAGCUGGAAUUGGAACAUGGUCAAGACUACUACGGGAGGCAGCAGUGGGGAAUUUUGGCGAAUGGGAGAAAGGGUGAUCAAGCGAUGCCGGGUGUGUGAAGAAGGUAUUAGGAUUGUAAAGCAGAUUAAGUCGGGAGGAAGGGCAGUAAGUUAAUACCUUGCUGUUUUGGCGUUAACAGGAGAAUAAGCACCGGCUAACUUCGUG
rnacentral:rRNA from 1 species